CCAUUGAGCUAACUAGCUCAUUAUCCUUAUGAGCAUAGAGUUUCAGAUUAACAGUUUAAUUGACUGACUUUUCUCAAAUAUCUGUAAAAAAUCCUACUAGUUCUCUCAGCUUUGACUGUUUUUGCAAUAAUCAUGGCACACCCAAAAGGUCAGCUAUGAUACUUUGGAAAUGAGGCCAGGAACAUUUCUUUAAAUUGUGUCCUAGCAGUCUACAAGGAAACAUCAUGUCCUCAUACCAAAUGUUUUAAUUAGAUAAGACUUGAUUUCUGAGGCUCUAAUUGCAAUUCAUCACAAUUUGUGUGCCUAAGGUGUGGAGAGCCUAAAUCUGAUUCCAGAACCAGAUAUUGUCUGGACACUGUUUUAGCAGAACACUGAUUUUUAAACUUCAGAUACAAAUGAGUAAUGUAAUAUAUAUGAGAGUGAGGAUGGAGCAUCUACCUUCUGUAGAAAGGUAGCUGUAAGUGAUGACAUUGAAUAUUGUGAACCAAAUACACAAUUAAAUAGGAUUGAUCAAGACUUCUUCAUUGAACCUGUUUUUUUAUUGAAGUCACCACUGGUAUUUUAGGAAAGAACUUGGACCUGUAGGUUUUUGUGUGCACUGCCAUUUUGGAAAGCGCUCUGAGACUUGAGGUGGAAUCACACAUCUGGUUUGGUUUUAUUUGGUUUUUGGCUUUUUUUAGUUUUUCCUAGCUGUGAUCACUUGCGGCUGAGACAAAAUGUGUUCUUCCACAUUGACUGUUUUACUAAAACAAUAAUAAGGUAGGUAUUGUUUUCUUCCAUCUAAUUUGUAUCUGUGUAUAACAUGCUUUUUCUGGUGGAGGAGUAGAUCAUACGGCUGCUAAAAUUCUAAAUCUUUGCUGAGGAAAAGCCCAAAUCAAUGUUUUGGGAGAAUAAGGGUCAAGGAGUGGACAGACUUAAGAUUUUUAUUGGGGGAGAGGGUAGAUGCAGGGAGGGAACAGAAUUAUUACCCUUUCUCUCCAGAAAGCAAUUAAUUUUUCAAACAACAUGGUGCAUGCUUUGACUUCCUAUUUAUGGAUCUUAGAAAUAUAGAAAAUAAACCCAUAAAAUUGUCUUUUAAAAUACAGAAUUAAUUUUGGUAACUUCCCAAUAAAGUGAAAAACUUUUUUUUGUUUCUUUGCCAGGAACUAAAUAAAUAAUUCUGCAGACUAAACUUUUAUGAGUAUAUUGGAAUAAAACCUGAUUUGGUUUAGAUGGAAGCUGAAACAUAAACACCCCCUAGUCAGGGAGGCUUGAUUUUUUUUUUUCUGUAGGUAAUGUAAUUUGUACGAGUGGUUGAAGAAACCUAUGAUAUGACAAUUUGAGAUACAGGGAGUCUGGAGUUCAGUGACUUAAGGCUCUAAGAGUAAAACACAGUUUUCUUGUGUAGUCUCAUGUCAUUGUAGUAAAACAGAUGUGGAACACUGAGUUUGUCUAUAGUUAUUGCAAACAUUUAAUUGAUGGGAUGGGUAGCUUGUUCCUGCAGACUGUGAUACCAGCUGGCACCUGCAGAGAAUGACAUUGACACUCGUGUAUGGACAGUUUUCUUUUUCAUGGCAUGCUUUGGGCAUCAGUUGCAUCUCAGGGUGGAAUCGUGGAAGUUCCCUGGUCUUCCUUGAAAGUCUGUGAUGCCUGCAUGGUAGAGUCAUAUUCCAUGAGAAAAUGCUGGUAUCUGAGUUGGAACAUUACAGGUGGUGGGUCUGGAUGGGUGGCCUACUAGAUGAGUGAAAACCUGCCUGAGCCCUGAGGCCCAAAAGUGAUCUGGAGGAGACGUUGGAGUUCACCUUCAUUGAACUUUCGGGUGACACCCAGUUGGUGCACACAGCCAAUCUACUUGAAGCCAUGGCUGCCAUCCAGAAGCGCAGGCUGGAGGGAUAGGAUGGCAGGAACCACAAGAAACAAAGCAAGGACAAAUGCAAAGUUGUGCACCUUGAAUGUCUGAAAUCCUUGCACUGGUACAGGCUGUGGAACAGCUCUGUUGAGAAGACACUGGCAGACCAUAAUCUAAAGAUAAACGUGCCCUGGCAGUAAUGAAGGGUAGUCAUCUUUGGGGCUGUAUCAUCAGGAAAAUACAUAGUGGCAAGGAAAAUGUCUAUUCCCUUUACUUAGCAGUUGUUGAUCACAUCUAGGAUACUGUGUCCGGUUUAAGGUCUCUUCACCAGUAAGGGAAGACACUGGCAAACUGGAGCAAGUUCAGUAGAGGGCUGCCAAGAUGGCUGGGACUGGAGCAGGUGUGCAGGAAUCCUGUGAGGAGAGGCUGAGGCUUGUUCACCUGAGAGAAAGGAUGGCACUUCAGGAACCCCCAGUGCCUGUGGUAAAUUUAGCACGAAGACACAGGCACAACAGUCUGUGGCAAGAGGGUGAGAUGACAAACAAACUAAAACAGAGGAGGCCCCAUUGGAAAUAGGAAAAUACUCGUUUACUAUUAUGGCAGUUCAGUAGUGCAACAGGCUGCCCAAGGAAUCUGUGCAGUCUUCAGCCUUGGAGGCUUUCAAGACCCAACCAGAUCAAGCCCUGAGCAGCACGGGCUGACCUCAGGACUGACUCUGCUUUGAGCAGCACAUUGGACUAGAGACCUCCUGGGGCCUUUUCCAACCUGAAUUAACCUAUGAUUCAUUAUAUGUUUUAAGACCUUUCCUGUAGCCUUCUAAUCACUACCUUCUUUAACUUUCUUUUGCUUUAGCAUGAAAAUCUUUUAAACUAUUUCUAAAAGUACAUCCCUCAAAAUAACUGUUCUAUUCUAGGUAAGUACUGUCAUUAUAUAUAGAUAUUUAUAUAUUUAAAUUCUGAAUACUGCAGCUUAUUUUAAAGGCCUCUUCAUAAAAUAAUGAAACCAAGAGCAAGCUUUUUAAAAUUUAAUCUAGAUGAGCUAUGUAGGAAUGAAUUAAUGCCUAAGGAUAUGCUGUCAUAUUUAAAUAUAGAAAAGUAUAAUUACAAGUGCUAUAAGUACGAAACUGAGCUUCUUAGAGAAAUUAAGACUUUUUAAAGAAAAAUAAAAGGAAUCUUAAAUGUCUGUGCAACUUAGGUUUCCUCCUUUUGUUACUAUGGCUACAAUAAAGAAUUACCAAAGGAGAGAAUUGGAUUGGUACAGUAUUAAAGAUUAGGAGUGCUAAUUAGUAUUCUCCUUCUAUAACUCUGAUAGCCACGUAAUCGAGCCAUUUAUUCUAAAUCACUUAACUUUGAAUAGUUUUAACAUUGUUUUGCAAGUAAAUGCCAACUCUACUAAUUACAGUUUUGUCUGUAUUUAAUAAAAAGACCCAUUUUAAUUACCAUAUUUUUGAAGUCUAGACUUCUCCAUUUUUUAAAUACUCCAGACAGCCAUUUAUUAUCAGCUUUUUAGUGAUAUUAUUUUCUUUUGCACAAAUGUAUUACACAGUAUGUUUCCUUUGGUAUAUAAUCAUUAAUGUGCUGCCUCUACACUUUUGGCCACACAAAAUUGUACGUGUGUUCGAACAUAUGUUUUCUCUAUCCAAAAAAUAACCCUUUUAAGUUGAAACACAUCCAGAUUUGAUACCAUUUUGAUUUUAUGUUUUUAUAAUAUUUUUCUAAUAUUAUAAAAAUAUCUUUGGAGCCAAGCUGUCUAUUUUGUACUUGAAAACUUAUACGCUGCUUUUUUAAUCUGAACACCUAUGUUCCUGUCUCAUUUUGUAAUUUGAGUUUGCAAGUUGUACAUGCACAAAUUAAACCAAAAGCCUGCAAUGCUGUUUACAAGUGAAAAUAAAAGAGAGUAGAAAUAUUUGUGGGCACAAAUACUUAUUCAAAUGUUAAACCAUUAAGUGAAAAAGAACACUAAAUAGAAAUAACUCUCCUCUUGAUUUUUCCAUGUGUUAGGCACUGAUCUUGGUCUCAGAUUUUGAUUCAUUCUUGAAUCUGUCACAGACUUGAUAAGGGACAAGCUAUCUAAUCUCCUUUCUGCUUGAGGUGGUGGAUCCUAUAGUUGAUCUGCCUGCUGGUGGCCUCAGUCCUGCUGUCCUCCCUAUCUCAGCUCUGACCCUGGCUGAGGCAUUUCAGUAUGAAAAGCUGUAUGAAAGGGUUUUGUUCUUCCCUCCCUGCUUUUGAGGUUAUAUAGAUUUAAGGCACAGAAACAGACCAAAUCAAGGCUGGACAAACAUUUUAGUUAGUGUGAAGAGAGGAAUGCUGGUUUGCCAGCAAAGACAAAACAUGAGUGGUUACUGCUUUUUGAGACUUAGUUACACUGCAUGGGACAGCAGCUUCAGUUUCUCUGCCUAUAAUAUUGGUUUAGUGUUGGUUCCCUCUUUCUUUUCUUCUUAUUUAUGCUAAUUUUUUACCUGUAACUUUUAUUUUUUCUAGCAGUGAGACAGAUUUGGGAACACAUAUUAGCUAUACCUAACGACCAAAUGCAUAAAACUUCUAAAGAAAAGAUUUUAGAGGCAGCAAAAAGAAGCAACAUAUGGAUUUCUGCCAAUAAUGUGUUAUAAUUAAAGGCUUCUGGGAAUGCCUUUUAGCAAAUGCAUGAGUAUCAUAAAUAUUUGAAAGCACUGGAGGACAGUUAUACUCUUGCUCUUCACCUUUACUAUUAGUAGUUAUUUUAAUAGAUGCAUUAAUAGCACAGUCUGCAAUAACAAGAUCAAGCAAACCAGAGGGGCUUCCUUGAAAAUCUUAAUGAUGCAAAGGAGUCACCGAUGCCUGGCCACAUUUUCAUCACAAAGUGAUUUGUUUGCUGUUAUGCAGUGUCUGGAAAGAAUAUUCUACUCCAGAAAUGGUAAAUUG